rnacentral:rRNA from 1 species
GCUGGCGGCAGGCCUAACACAUGCAAGUCGAGCGGUAACACAGGGAGCUUGCUCCCGGGUGACGAGCGGCGGACGGGUGAGUAAUGUCUGGGAAACUGCCUGAUGGAGGGGGAUAACUACUGGAAACGGUAGCUAAUACCGCAUAACGUCGCAAGACCAAAGAGGGGGACCUUCGGGCCUCUUGCCAUCAGAUGUGCCCAGAUGGGAUUAGCUAGUAGGUGGGGUAACGGCUCACCUAGGCGACGAUCCCUAGCUGGUCUGAGAGGAUGACCAGCCACACUGGAACUGAGACACGGUCCAGACUCCUACGGGAGGCAGCAGUGGGGAAUAUUGCACAAUGGGCGCAAGCCUGAUGCAGCCAUGCCGCGUGUAUGAAGAAGGCCUUCGGGUUGUAAAGUACUUUCAGCGGGGAGGAAGGUGUUGAGGUUAAUAACCUCAGCAAUUGACGUUACCCGCAGAAGAAGCACCGGCUAACUCCGUGCCAGCAGCCGCGGUAAUACGGAGGGUGCAAGCGUUAAUCGGAAUUACUGGGCGUAAAGCGCACGCAGGCGGUCUGUCAAGUCGGAUGUGAAAUCCCCGGGCUCAACCUGGGAACUGCAUUCGAAACUGGCAGGCUAGAGUCUUGUAGAGGGGGGUAGAAUUCCAGGUGUAGCGGUGAAAUGCGUAGAGAUCUGGAGGAAUACCGGUGGCGAAGGCGGCCCCCUGGACAAAGACUGACGCUCAGGUGCGAAAGCGUGGGGAGCAAACAGGAUUAGAUACCCUGGUAGUCCACGCCGUAAACGAUGUCGACUUGGAGGUUGUGCCCUUGAGGCGUGGCUUCCGGAGCUAACGCGUUAAGUCGACCGCCUGGGGAGUGCGGCCGCAAGGUUAAAACUCAAAUGAAUUGACGGGGGCCCGCACAAGCGGUGGAGCAUGUGGUUUAAUUCGAUGCAACGCGAAGAACCUUACCUACUCUUGACAUCCAGAGAACUUUCCAGAGAUGGAUUGGUGCCUUCGGGAACUCUGAGACAGGUGCUGCAUGGCUGUCGUCAGCUCGUGUUGUGAAAUGUUGGGUUAAGUCCCGCAACGAGCGCAACCCUUAUCCUUUGUUGCCAGCGGUCCGGCCGGGAACUCAAAGGAGACUGCCAGUGAUAAACUGGAGGAAGGUGGGGAUGGCGUCAAGUCAUCAUGGCCCUUACGAGUAGGGCUACACACGUGCUACAAUGGCGCAUACAAAGAGAAGCGACCUCGCGAGAGCAAGCGGACCUCAUAAAGUGCGUCGUAGUCCGGAUUGGAGUCUGCAACUCGACUCCAUGAAGUCGGAAUCGCUAGUAAUCGUAGAUCAGAAUGCUACGGUGAAUACGUUCCCGGGCCUUGUACACACCGCCCGUCACACCAUGGGAGUGGGUUGCAAAAGAAGUAGGUAGCUUAACCUUCGGGAGGGCGCUUACCACUUUGUGAUU